rnacentral:rRNA from 1 species
UACGUAGGUGGCAAGCGUUGUCCGGAUUUAUUGGGCGUAAAGCGAGUGCAGGCGGUUCGAUAAGUCUGAUGUGAAAGCCUUCGGCUCAACCGGAGAAUUGCAUCAGAAACUGUCGAGCUUGAGUACAGAAGAGGAGAGUGGAACUCCAUGUGUAGCGGUGAAAUGCGUAGAUAUAUGGAAGAACACCGGUGGCGAAGGCGGCUCUCUGGUCUGUUACUGACGCUGAGGCUCGAAGGCAUGGGUAGCGAACAGGAUUAGAUACCCUGGUAGUC